rnacentral:rRNA from 1 species
AUUGAACGCUGGCGGCAGGCCUAACACAUGCAAGUCGAACGAGUGGCGGACGGGUGAGUAAUGUCUGGGAAACUGCCUGAUGGAGGGGGAUAACUACUGGAAACGGUAGCUACUACCGCAUACCAUCGGAUGUGCCCAGAUUGGCUUAGCUAGUAGGUGGGGUAAAGGCUCACCUAGGCGACGAUCCCUAGCUGGUCUGAGAGGAUGACCAGCCACACUGGAACUGAGACACGAUCCAGACUCCUACGGGAGGCAGCAGUGGGGAAUAUUGCACAAUGGGCGCAAGCCUGAUGCGGCCAUGCCGCGUGUAUGAAGAAGGACUUCGGGGUGUAAAGUACUUUAAGCGGGGAGGCGUUACCCGCAGAAGAAGCACCGGCUAACUCCGUGCCAGCAGCCGCGGUAAUUC